UAUCAAAGAACAUAACCUCCCUAGUGUGGUGACAGGUUCUCACGGCGGCGAGUAAUCAGAAUUCUGUUUUCUGGAUUGUUUCGUCUCGUGUGGUCUGAUAAAAGAUUACGGACGUUUCAGAUGAGGCAGUAAGCACCUCCGCUACGUCUGUAGACUUCUAACACUCCACACGGCGCAGUAAUGUGAAAGCAUACAUAACCUGCUUUAAAAUAAGUUACUCCAAAGUUGCCUCAAGUGUACCAGAUAUGCAACAACAAACUUAUGCUAUUGCUUUCAUAUUAUUUAACUCGUCCCUUUUAGGAACGAUCCGCAGUUAACAUGUCCAAAAUAAUGGUUAUAUCUAACACAAAUUUUUCAAUAUGCCAUUUGUCUUACAUCCCUGAAAGAGUUUAGACUGAAUGUGGAAAGUACAAAUAACCUGACUAUGGUUGUUUCCACAGUAAACUAAAGAUUCCAGUGCUGGCCAUUAAUUUCAUCACGGUCUAUCAUCCCACAGGAGCUCACAUCACUGGAAUGGAUUCCUUUACUCAUGCAACACAGAUAUAAUGCUAGUAUGUGCACAUACAUAUAUCUUAAAAACAAACAGUUGGUUCUCACAAUGACAAGUCUGAAGAUGGCUGCCUUCUGGGAUGUUGCACCACAGUCUGCUAGAUGCUGACUGACAUUUCAAAGGUACUUACAGCCUCCAUUAUCAGGGCUCAGGAUGAGAUGGUGUGGACAUGUUCUGUUAAUUAUGACAGAAUUCCAAAUAGGGUAUGGAACAUCAAAGCGAAGGAAGAUGCCCAAAAAGGAGACUAAGACCAAAAUUAGAGCAACAUAUUAGGAAUGCUGUUACACAGAUGGACGGAAGGGCAUGGAAACAAACUGAGGAGGCGGAGGAGUUUUGGGAAGACAGAGAGACUCAUGAAAAUGAUUGGUUGUUGGAUGACCUACAUAAAGUAAAAAUGUCUUAUGAACAGGAACAGAAGAUAAGAAUCAAUCUUCAAUCUAAUUAUUUUGUAUGUAAUGAAAAUGAUACCAACACUGACAUUACAUGAAAAAUGUACAUUCUUACUGUAGCCUUCAUGUUUCUAAGUCCAAAAUAAAUUUUCAUUGGUGAAUUAAAUA